CCUCGGGCUCCCACCCUCACUUGGGCUCUCCAUGGCUGGAGAAGAACCAACCGGCCCGAGGGCCCUUUCCUGCAGCCCGUCCCCCAAGCAAAGAGCAAGGCUGGAGUUGCUCUAAGCUAGCAGCAUCGCCUGCUGUUGUUGUUGGGAUUUCUUACUGCGUGUGCGUAAUUUACUGGUCUUGUUGGGAUUUCCUACAUCGAAAAGAGUAGGAUCACAUCACAUAUGGCGACGUUAGCACAACUACUACGGCACCAAUUCGAAACGUGAAGAAUCAAGAAUUGUAUGUAUGUUGGGCGUAAAAAAAUCAUUAGCCAUAUGGGUAGUGCAAGACCAAAAGAUGUACAACCACAAAGGAACAAACUCGCAAAUCAAAAUCAUAAAGAAUUGCUGCAAUUUUUAUUCAGCCUCACUAGAGCGAAAUAAUUGAACUGAAAAACAAAACUAAACCCUAGCGGUAUGAUCACGACUCGCUACGUACCACGAGAAGACCAUGCCGUACGUUGUCAAUUACGGGGUUGACACCGCCAUCGACCAUGAAUGGGGUCCCACCUUCCUUGUGUGCAUCGUGCAUUCGCAGCCACGUAGAUCACCACCCAUAAUUCUUCUCCAGAUUACAACUGUUGGUUAAUCAUAUUAUUAAUCAAAAUCUGACGGCCAGAAUUUAAGCUUACAAUUCAGUGGUGGCGGCUUACCUUUUUUUUUCUUUUUUUUCUUUUUUUUUCCAAAUAAAUGCUAGGAAAGUUAAAUUUGUAGACUAAAUUAGCAAACCAAAUGAGAUGUCACCAAUAAAAAAUAGCACGUUUAUCAACGAUUAAGUAAUAAUCUAAUCAUCAACUUACUGUUGUAAAAUCGACUGUGGGUGCAGUGGAAUAAAUGAAACAAGACACAAAAUUUACGAGGUUCCUCUACAGUCAGUGUGACUGGAGUACGUCCUCGGGACAGCGGUGGUGCUUUUAUUAUAAUUUGAAAUAAUAGAAGUACAAAUAUAACUCCUUUUAUUAUCUCCCCUCAUCUUCCUCUUCUUCCUCUCUUCCUCUUCUUUCUCUCUCUUUCUUUCUUCCUUUUCCUUCUUCUCUCCCGUGAACCCCCUUUCUUCCUCUUCCUCUCAUUCAUUUUAUAAUCAAAGAGGACACUAUUCACCUUACAAAUUUUCCACAAAUGAAUAGUGAAAAUAAUGUGAAUAAAUAGUAACAAACUAUUCAUGUGGGCCAUCCACAUAAUAUUUACAACACUCCCCCUUGGAUGGCCACAAGUCUUCGACUGACUCGUUAAAAUCUUGAUCUGUUUUGAAUGCUCCCCCUGAUGAGUAUCUCCUUCUGAUUUCAAAUCAUUUAGGUUGAUCGUUGAUCGUUCUACUUUAGUCUCUUAGUAAGAAGAGUUGCUGAAAGAAUUGCUUUACUUGUUGUUAACUUUCCACAGGCUUUUUCUUGAACUGAGUUGUAGGACUUUCUGCUAGACUAGUAUCGAAGAUCUGAAUUUACUCCUUUUAUCUGGAGCGGAAUUUGAUUCAAAAGUGGUGGACACUUGAUCUUGAAUCGGACUUGUGAUUUCUUCAAGGACCUUCGAGGAUUGAUCUUGAAUGAAAUUGGACCAUGAGGAGCUUCAUGUGGCAAGUGAUCUUCAGUUUUGUUAGGGAUGAAUCAACACGCGUUUGUUGCGCUUGUCUCCACAUGCUUCAAUGUAUCAUUUUCACUUUCCUUACUUGCUCCCCUUGCUUAAGUAGUAUUUUCCUUGCUUUUCCCCCAUGCAUGUGUGGCAUCUUCUCUUGUAGGAUUUGUCCCCUGAUGCAGGAGUGGAAUGCAAACCCUUGCAUUUGAAUGGUUCAUCACUUCUUGGUGACUGGGGACCCCGCUCCAACAACAAUUGAAGAUGACUACUCGAGAGCAAUACUAGGUAAGCAAUCGGGAAAGGUUCCAGGCAGUCGGUUCCUUACCGGGAGUUUUGAGUGGAGGUUCCGACAUAUUGCUUUCUUUAUCCUUGUCUUUGCAGGCAAGAACAAGGACAAGGAAAUGACAGGGAGAUUGCAUGAUAUGAGAUAAUCUUGCUCUGGUCCCUGAAGAUAUGUGAUAAUCUUGCUCUGGUGUGACAUGUUUGAAGAGGUAUUCUCGGAGAGGAAGAAAACUGAGUAUUUCGAAAUGCUAUGUUGAAGAUGCAUUCUCGGAGAUGAGGAAGAGUUAGGUAUUCUUGCAGUGUUGCGGGUCUGCCUUGUUAUGGAGAACAGAGGUCGACAUAUAUAGAGAUUUCUCAAUAGCAAGUGGUGGUGCUGUGCUUUUUUACUCUUGUCAGCAACUGUGGUGUAAAUAGAACAGUAAGAUUUACGCGUUUUCAACUUUGUCAGAGAUCUUUGACAAAGUUGCACGCGAUAUCUGAAAAGCUGAGAUUACGUCUGAAAAAUGCCAACGAAUUUUAUUCAGGAAAAUCUGGCUUUUGAAAUUCGGAGAGCGGUGACUCAUCGAUCUUUGAACAAGUGGCUAUGCUGCCUCUUCUUUUAUAGAGACAUCAAUUGUGUUCAAGAGUAUGCUCAGAAAGUUGCUGCCUGAGAAAUUUCCACCUUCUUGCACUUCUGAAAUUUUAUUUGACCUCUAUUUUUCCUUCAUCAUUUCUGAAAAAUGACUUGCCCAUCUAACAUUUGCUUAGAUUUGAGUCUUAGGAGUGAUACAGACGAGCAGCGUCAUGAUAAUAUAUGGCGCCCGUCCUUCUUAUCUUCGAAUGGUCCUCUUACGGUUGGGGACUCUGUGAUGAAGAAUAACAUAACCGCUACUGUGGUAGCUAGGAAUCUUCUCACUCCAAGGGAUAACAAGAUCCUUUCAGAACGGUCUGAAGAGUCGGCCGUUCAAGACUCCUUGGCUCUUAGUGUUCAGUGUGCUGGCUCUGUGUCCAAUAUGGGCCAACGCUUACUUGCUCAAACUCGCCAAAUUAAAUCAUUGAUGGCAGAGAUGACAAGUCUUAAACAAGAGAUCAGAGGGCUCAAGCACGAGAAUAGGGUGUUACACGUGCUUGCAAAUAGUUACUCUACGAGCAUGAAAAGAAAGCUCGUCCAACUGCAGGAAUCCGAAAGUCGGAUUCAAAGUGAUCACCAGAGGUUCGUUGCUAGAUUCCGAAAGCAACUGAUGUCUUCCCCUUCUGGUGUUUUGCUAAGUACUGGGGUGCCACAUGAUCAAUCUCCAGUGCCUCCCCCUUCUGGGGUACUUCCGAGUACUGAGGCUUCACAUGAGCAACCUUUGUGAAGGCUCCAUCCUGUUUGUUUAUUUUAACUCAUGCGUAUGUAUAUAUCUGUAAUUUCUUGGAGAUAUUAAUAAAUAAGCUUUAUUUCAUUCAAUGUAUUGUGCCAAAUACAAUAAAGCAUAUACUUCACUAAGAUGUGGUACUUCUGGACCAAAUAUUAAUUUAUCUUUACCCUCACGAAGAUAAAUGAUUAUUCUUAGUGUCUUCAUCAUAUGAGUAUUCAACUCAUAAUCUUCAAUCCAUAUGGUUCUUUUAAUAUCAUAAAUAUCAUGGAUAAGAUUCGUGUUGGUAGAUUGUUCGAUCUGCAGCUCGAGACAAUAAUUCCUUCAACACUUUAUAAUUUUUCUAGACUCUUCAGGAGUCCCAAUUUAAUAUCAUCAACUCUUCAAGAGUUAUAAUUUAUUGUCAUUGACUCUUGCAAGAGAUUUUAGUAUGUUGCAACAAUAUUAUAAUGAUAGUACUCACUAAGGCAAUUUAUAUCAUCCAUUGAUAUUGAGUACAUAAUUUAUGCUUUACCCUUCGGGGGCUUACUUCAAGCAAUUUGAAUCCUUCAGGGAUUUUCUACACUUCAUGACACAUUUUCCUUUGGAAUUUAUACAUAGCAAUUUGCUCCCAUGUAUAUUGAGGGAUUUACUUAUGGAGAUAUGAUGUGGGUGACUCACAACCCUUCAUAUAUAAUUCUCCAUUUAUAUGAACUCGUUUACAACCUUGUGUCAUAUCAUGUAAGUGUAUUACACUAUAUUACAAAUGCCCAUAUAUAACCUCCUUGGUUUAACAUCUUUUGGCUAUUUGUAUUGUAUUCAAAUAUAUAGGUCCAUUUUUCCACGUUCUUACAAAAUUGUAAUGGAAUUGCCUUUCUCCAUUUUGGCCAAUAAUUUUCCUUUUGUCGACGAACAAAAGAACGUGACUCAAUAUUAACACAACUCAUUGAUGAAUUUAGUAGCUACUUGUAAAACCAAAAUUACCAUUGGUUAUCAUCAAUCCGUGAUCCCAUAUUCUCAUGUGCAUGCACAUGCAUAAAAGCUUUUCAUUUCUUUGGAUAUCCAUUGCCUCUUCAAGGGCAUUACAUUAUCUCUUCCAGGAUAGUCAUAAUUUAGAGAAUGUGGAUCAUAACCUCCUCUUGAGCGUUAUAGUGCUUGGAUUUUAAUCUCCACUUCCAAGAGUUGAGUCAUUUAGAACCUAUACGUCAAUCAUGCUUCAUGCAUGAGACAUCAAUAUUCUCAUGUCUGUGGAUUGUCCUAUCUGGGACGUGUAUCCACGCGGCGACUGUCAUGCUUCUGGCAUGCAACAGUUAUGCUUCGGGAAUGCAAUAGUUCAGUAGUGCCAUAUUAUUCUUCUUUCGAAUAACUGAACCUUUUGAGUCUAAAAAUCUGCCACGCUUUAGGCGUGCAACAGAUAAAUCAUUUACUGUCUCAUUAUUUUAUCCAACAGAGACAUCAAUUCUUGUAGGCACAUUUGCAGUAAGUAUAUAUGAUUUCAUCACUUUCGUUGCAUCAUUCAAUUAUUCAUAUUUCAUUUUCUUAUUGAUUGCUUCGUGAAUCAAAAUAAGACAAAUUCUCUUCGUUCUUCUGGAACGGUCUUUUCUCAUCAUUCUUUUUGGAAUGAUAUUUUCUCAUCGUUCUUCUGGAACAAUAUUAUUUUCUCCCCCUAAUGGCAGGAAAAUUGUCUUAUCAAAAUGACAGUCCGCAAACCAUGCGGUAAACAUAUCCCCAAUCAAGAAUUCCAAAUAUUGAAUGAUAGAUGGUGUUCAACAUCAAUGCCUAAUCUGCAAUGAUGCCUCAUUUCAGUACGUUGUGGCAGUCUUACAGGCACAUAGACAACACAACCAAAAACUCGUAAAUGUAUAAUGUUUGGUUGGUUCCAAACCCGAGUUGUACUGAGAAGUAUUGAUGGUCGGUAACAUGUCUCAACCGAAUUAAUAAUGCAUCAUGUAAAGUUUACAUGUCCCCCAUGUAGAAAAUUGGCAAUUUCGUUUUCAUGAGCAGAGCGCGGGAAAUCAAUUUCAUUCGCUUAAUAAAGGCUUCUGCUAAACCAUUUUGAGUAUGGACAUAAGGAACUUCUGGUCCUUAUUUAAUAGUCUGUAAACUAAGACUCUUAUGGCUUUUAUUACAAUUAAGUUAAGGCACUGCGGCACUUCAAACUUACGGUACUCAUCUAGGAACUUCAUGUCCUGAUCUUCAGGAUCAAGGGACUUCAUGCCAGAUCCUUUUGUAUGAUGGAACUUCGGGUCCAAUCAUUUUAUAUGAUGAGGAUCAAGAAACUGCAGGUUCUGAUCUGAUCAAGGAACUUCAGGUCCUGUAUAUAUUCAUAGUAACAAAAGAUAAGUACAAUAAAUAAAUUAAAGCACUAGGCGGUAAUUCCAACCAUAGUAAAUAAAUUGCAUUUAAGUAAAUAAAGCUUGUGACAAGGGCUUUAAUUCAGCACCAUUCACAUAAAUCAAAACUUAAAGCAGUAGGUGGUAAAACCGUCCAUGAUAAAUAAAUUGCUUUAAAGUAAAUAGAAAUUGUGACAUGGGCUUUAAACCAACACCAUGCACAUAAAUAUCAAAGCUUUAAAGCAAAGGGUAAUAAUGCUACCCACUGUAAAUAAAUUGCUUUAAAUAAAUAGAGCUUGUGAAAGUGUUUUAAGCCAACACCAUUCACAUAAAUAAAUAUAUAUUUUCGUUUCUUAUUCAUUCACAUGGUGCCGUGUACCAUCCAAUAAUAUUUGUUCUUUUCUCCUUUUGUGACAACAUCAUGCACCAAAAAUCCACCUUUCCAAUUUAUUUAUUUAUUUAUUUAUUUUUCAGAAUGGUGCAACUCACUUCCAAAACCUUUUUGUUUUCUUUAAAUAGUCCAACCGACACACCAUCCAUUUGCUCCCUUUUUCAAUUUAUAUAUGUAUAUUUUUCUUUCUUUCCAACUACCCAAAAUAAUCACACUUUUCUUUGUCUGCCACUUAUAAGAAGAUCAAACCGUUAGAUUUAACUCAAAAUUUAGUAUGAUAUGGAUAAGAAGAUACCAAACAACUUUUGUGAAUAAACAGUUUCGAGCUGAGCUUCUGAAAAUGAAGGUUUGGUACUCAUAAGAUGGCUGUCCAGUUUUCUGCGGAAAUGGAAGCUGAGUUAAAGUUUCAGUCAUCUACGACGAUCGCACCGUUGACAAUUUCUGAAAUUUGGAUAUGUUCUAGGUACUAGGCGGACAAACAACUUUCAAGAAGAAAGUAUUUCAAUCGGAUGUCAGGAAGUUGGAGUUCAGUGGCUAUUUACAUGGCUGCCAAAUUUCUGCGGAUUUUGAGUCUGUAGUAUUAUUUCUAAGAUAUGGAAUGAUUUAACCGUUGGAUGGUUCUGGAAUUUUGGUAUGUUAUGGGAGAGAGGAUAAGGAACAACUUUUAUGAAGGAAUGGUUUCUGUAUGAGCACUGGAAGUUGAAGUUUCAAAGCUCAUAUGAUCGUCGGAUUUUCUGCCAAUAAUAAUGACAAUACUUAUAUAACCACAUGUAUAUUUACUUUAAGAAAAUUAGUCAUUUAGAGAUAUGAGAAUGAAAUGAAAAGAUUUUCUUAUCUGUGAGAUUCCAGCCGAUAGAUGUGAGAGAUAAGUAGUGCUUUCCACCGACAUGAGAGCUUCUCGUGCUGAUAACGUGUUGUAAAAUCGACUGUGGGUGCAGUGGAAUAAAUGAAACAAGACACAAAAUUUACGAGGUUCCUCUACAGUCAGUGUGACUGGAGUACGUCCUCGGGACAGCGGUGGUGCUUUCAUUAUAAUUUGAAAUAAUAGAAGUACAAAUAUAACUCCUUUUAUUAUCUCCCCUCAUCUUCCUCUUCUUCCUCUAUUCCUCUUCUUUCUCUCUCUUUCUUUCUUCCUUUUCCUUCUUCUCUCCCGUGAACCCCCUU
rnacentral:lncRNA from 1 species